rnacentral:rRNA from 1 species
UUGUGACUACGGGACGCAGCAGUGGGGAAUAUUGCACAAUGGGCGCAAGCCUGAUGCAGCGACGCCGCGUGCGGGAUGGAGGCCUUCGGGUUGUAAACCGCUUUUGUUCAAGGGCAAGGCACGGUCUUUGGCCGUGUUGAGUGGAUUGUUCGAAUAAGCACCGGCUAACUACGUGCCAGCAGCCGCGGUAAUACGUAGGGUGCAAGCGUUAUCCGGUUUUAUUGGGCGUAAAGGGCUCGUAGGCGGUUCGUCGCGUCCGGUGUGAAAUCCGAUGGCUUACCGG